rnacentral:rRNA from 1 species
CCUACGGGAGGCAGCAGUGAGGAAUAUUGGUCAAUGGGCGCUAGCCUGAACCAGCCAAGUAGCGUGAAGGAUGACUGCCCUAUGGGUUGUAAACUUCUUUUAUAUGGGAAUAAAGUGCAGUAUGUAUACUGCUUUGCAUGUACCUUAUGAAUAAGGAUCGGCUAACUCCGUGCCAGCAGCCGCGGUAAUACGGAGGAUCCGAGCGUUAUCCGGAUUUAUUGGGUUUAAAGGGAGCGUAGGCGGGCUGGUAAGUCAGUUGUGAAAGUUUGCGGCUCAACCGUAAAACUGCAGUUGAUACUGGCAGCCUUGAGUACAGUAGAGGUAGGCGGAAUUCGUGGUGUAGCGGUGAAAUGCGUAGAUAUUACGAAGAACUCCGAUGGCGAAGGCAGCCUGCUGGACUGUAACUGACGCUGAGGCGCGAAAGCGUGGGGAGCAAACAGGAUUAGAUACCCGAGUAGUC